UAAAGCAAUCGCGGAGAUUACCGCGAAAUGCCGCGAUGAAAUACUAAGUUGAUCUUUACGUUGAUUGUUGUGCAUUUGUGAAGAAGUGAGUAUUGUUAAGUUAAUGUUUAUGUUGAACGAUUGUGUGUUUUUAACUGAGUAUGACUCGUGAUUUAAGUAGUUAGUUUAUAUUUACUGAAGCUACCAGUAUCAUCCACAGGUUCACCCUCUUAGUUAAUUCACAGUGUAGUUCAGAGUUUGUUCUCUCACUGGUUUCUUAAACUCUAAUGUAUAAAUAAAAGUCUGAUUUCUUUAGUAAACGCAGUGAAACAUGAACGCUGAGUACAGAGCUGUGUUUGGAGCUCUUGAACUGGAGCGUUGACAGUUUCAGUUUUUCUGAGCUGCCUCUGAAUAUGUUCAGAUAAACUCAGAGUUGUGUUUAGUUCUGUUCUGCUCAGACCUCUUUUUGCUAGUUUUAGGUUUAGUUUCUGCUGUUGCUGUGAAAAUGUGAACUUUCGAUUGUUCCUGAUGUUGUUUCUUUGUAUGUGUCUGAACGACGGGGUCAGAGAGUCAAAACUGAACAUUUUAUUCUCUCAUUCUAAAUAACUGGUUUUAAUGAGUGUGGCUAUUACUGAAUUAUUGAGUUUUAACCAGUUUUACAACAAUCUGAAGUCGACUCUGUCACCUGUAAUAUUUAAAAACCAGUCGACUUUGGCUCUUUGGAAACUUCACGGAUUGAAAACACUCUGAAUAUCUCAGGAGGAGUUUUAUUCACUGUUGACGUCUUCUUGCUUCAUGGACACCUUUAUUAAAUUUGUAGAAGACUAAACAAGUGUCUUUUUGAAAGUAUGUGAACCGUAAUGAGGUUAAACGACGUAAAGAAACAGGCCUCACUCACUCACUCACUCACUCACUCACUCACUCUGCGGCGAGCGAGCGCUCCACGUCUCGUCGAAGAUUUGCGGCGGUGUCGAUAACAUCACUAAUAAUGCUGUCUGUCUGUGUGCUGUGAUUUCUUUCAGCUGUGGGGAGAUUAGUGAUUUGCAUUUAAUACCCGGUGUGCUCUGCUGUUCCUUUUUUCAUGCAACAUUGCCGGAUAUGGAUGAUGACAUUAUAAUAAUUAAAGAACAUUAUGGACAGAGGGCGCUUCGCUAUUUGCUGCCGAGCGUAAUGGCGGCCAACGCUGUUAUUUCUAUUUGAAGAAUGCAUCCAAGUGUGAAAUAAUAAUAUUCCCUCCAGGAAUACCAUUGUCAUAUUUUAUUCGUCAGUGUAAAAAGAUGAAACAGAAAAACAUGAUAAAAAAGGAGCCCUCACUCUUCAUCUCCUCCAUCCUUCUUGCUGUUGUUUUUUUAAUUCUGCUGUUGCAGCAUCCAGCGCCGCCGAUGCUGUCUGCAAACCUCAGAGGCGGACUUAAUUAGUUGCUAAGAGAAAGCUGCCAGUGGUGGGGAGCACAGAGAGUGGGGCACAUUUUAGUUUGCUCUGAACUUUGCUAAUUAUCAGGUAGGAUGUAAUUUCCUCCGUUCCCCAGAGACGCCCAGCAGAGAGCCGCACCGGCGAAUCGGAGACAAACAAGGCUGAGCCCGGAAAAAGUGCGUCUGUUAGGAAUAAAUCCUUUCGCGACUAUUUCUGAGGACUAUUCUUUCUCUGUGUUUCUGGAGGUGUGAUUAUACUCCAGUGCUGUGACACACCGUGAACGCUACCUGAGAGGGUGUGGGAGAGGACGUUUGCACCUUCAUGGACAGGUGGAAACAGGAUGUAGUGCAGCUCAGAGCGGGGAAGGCGAGCGCAGGGCUCCGAUCAUUUAUAUCCAGCUAUGUCUGAGCAGUGACAGCGACUGUGUUUAGCAGGUUCCUAUCCCACAUGCAUCACAUUAUGAUUCUGAAGUGCCUCAGACGAAAGAGGAGGUUGAAUUGCCGUUGACCUGAGUGAGCUAAAAUGACAUAGAUUCAGACAAAUAGAGCACUGAGCUAGGCGGGAAAACAAGAUGGAUGUGUAGUGGCAGCACAUCUGCACAGGCUCCCUCUCUCUUCCUCUGUGAGUGUGUGUGUGUGUGUGUUUGUGUGUGCAUGUGUGAGUGUGUGUGUGUGAGCCCCAAACUUUUGACAUUUUCUUCAGACAACCCACAUCUAAAGCUGUCUGGCUGCACACUUAAUAGGCUUGCAAAGGGCCUCCAUGCUGCUUUAAACUCUAAAUAUUAAGCGCCUCCUCUCUGCACAAACACACUUUUUGGUCUAAUGUUGCACAGACUCGUCUUUAGCUGCUGGAGUUUAAGUUUCGCAGCUCGUCACAGAAAUCUCUGUGUGUUCUGAAACGUCAACGUGAAGUUUUCAGAGCUGCCUCCCACUUUAAAUCUUGGCAGACUCCUCAUUCUCUGCGUGUGUGUGUGUGUGUGCGUGUGUGUGAGUGUAUCUCCAUGGUUGCGGCGUCUAAUAUGCACGCCCCAGUGCAUUGAGAAAAGAGAGUACUUCUUCCUCACUUGGUUUAAUUGUCCCUUAGAGACCUGUGGAAUUGGAAUCUAAGUGGAAUACCAGUCUCUUUUUCCAGCCCUCCUCAGCCCUCCACCCCCUCUUCCUGCUCCUCUCUCUCUCCCUCUCUCUCUCUCUCUCUCCGGGGUUGGAGCGGGCUUUCGGAGACUCUUGAUUUGGUCCUGUCUUUAUUUCAUCACAGGCCUCUUCUCAGCUUGCUCCUAAAGCACCACGGCGUUCGGCUUUAUUAACCCCCCUAAGCAAGAAGUACCUAAGGGAGGUCAGACACUGGUCGUUAAAAAUCUAUUGUGACUUGUCUGAAAAAUGAAUAAAUGAGCACAUUAUUUCCCCCCGUUCCGCAGCCCCGCUACGCUGUUUGUCUAAUCAAGUGCGGGAGCGGGCAAAGUCAACCAGGGUUGACAUGCACAUUUUAUUUAAGUUUUUGUCUGUCAGAGGAGUUUAAAUGUGUAAUGAACAAAGGAGUGGUGAUUUGAAAUAUAAUCCCAUUACACUGAUGAAAUUACAAAGACGGCGAGAGUUCACAAAUCACGCUCAUUGUUUUCUAUCAUGAGCGAUGCGGCUGUUGAGGUUGUGGCGCGCAGAGGAAGGGCAGAGUGUGAAUGAAUAGUGACAGCACAGUAAGGGGAUUGGGGAGUGGAGCUCGGCCGGGCCUCCCUGCACCUCCCUGUACUGGGAGAUGCUGAAGGGCUUUGUUCCCGCCUCUGCUGCUGCUGCUGAGGAGCAGGAUGAACCCAGAAGAACCGGUCCAACAUAGAAGAAGAAGAAGAAGAAGUGGACAUGCUCACUUCUACAAAUCCAGAGAAACGGCAACGAAAAAAGAUCAUGAACUUCACCAGAUCGAAGUGAUGAUGUGUUCUCCUCAAACUUUCAGGAUUUGAAGUUGAGCUUGUGCAGGAUGAUGAAAAAUAACUCCAUGAUACUUUGAGGAUGCACCGAUAAAUGAUGACCGAACUGUGAGGCUGAGCUUCACAAACAUUUCCAACCAUGCACCGACUCAGAAGAUAAUGGAUGAUAAAAAGGAGCAUUCAUAAGUUUUCUAUUUGUUGCAUUUGAAUUUUGUAAAAUAAAAACUUAUCAGGUCAACCAGGAGGCGACUCUGUAGUCCUGAGCUGAAAGGGAACUGAAAACUCAACACAAGUUUUAAACGACGCAAAGAUACAACGCGAAAUCCCGAAAUAUUCGAAGGCAAAUUUUGACACGCCUGACUUUACACAGCAAGCCUGAUGCGAUUUUAAGACUUUCUGGGGGAAAAAGACGCGUCCCAGGUGGAAGCGAGGAGACUGAGCCAACAGCAGACUGAGUGUUUUUCAGUUCUGAUUAGACUCUAGUGUUUAGAUGUCUGUCUGUCAUGAUAGCAUGUACUGAGUCGGGGCCAGUACCAGAUAAACACAUUAAACUAUAAUCCAUAAACGUAAGGAGAUCAAAUCUGACCUUCCUCAGUAAAAGGCCAAACGUCUCAACUAAGUCCAGUUGUCCUUUCAAUGAAGAAUUGGAAAUCAUAGAUGCUGCACCCACAGCUUUUUUGAACAUUUGAGUCAGUGAUGGCGCCCCCUGCUGAUGACGCAGUCUUUACCUAGCUAGUCCUCUUCAUGCUCCAUGUUUGACAAAAAUCCUCCCGCCAAAAAUAGCAAAUAUUUCAUUAAAGAUGGAGCCGUUUCUGCUCAGAUUCGCUGAGGUCAUCUUUGAGGAUGGACAGGAUCAGUAAACGAUGACUGAACCGUCAGUCUCUCAUUUUCCAGUCCUGUCUGUAAUAUUUCGUCUGGAGGAGUAAUCUGACUUUGCGCACAGAAAUCUUUUGAUGUUCAUCUUUGAUUCGUGGCGUGCUAAAAGUCAGGCCGCCGGCUCGGAGAAAGUUACAGCUAACUCCAGGAAGAAGAAAAAAAACACAGAGAGAGACAGGAGAAACUUGUUUUAGUUGCUGCAGCUUUAAUUGGAAGCCUCACAUGCCCCUUAAACAACAUCAUCUGAAGCUAAUAAGACUUAAAAAGUACAUCUGGCUGUAAAAUGCUUACCAUUUUUAACACUAAUGAACUGAGGCGUGCAGUGGAGAUGGCCAAAGUGCGAGGAGACGUACAGUAUAUUCUGGAGAAUUCCCCGGCUGCACAGGAGCUCAUAAAACACAUCUGAAGACAGAACUUGUAUCUGGUUAUUCGUGUUUAAUUGGAGGCGCUGAGUGAUGCAAACUAGCUUUUAAUGCCCUCCCCUGCUGCCUGACUACAAGUAGCAUCGGUGUUGCAACCCCUCCUCUCCCAUCUAUCCUCGCAGAAAUGACCAAACUCACUGCUAACAACGUCUGAAGCACACUCGCCUCCAAACGUGGCGGCACAACAUGCCCGCAUUAGGAGCUAAAUGCGUCUAAAUGCCGCACUUUGGAUUUAUAUUCAGGCGCGCACACGGGCGCAGAAGUAUGUGUGAAGGUACGAGGAAAGGUUCAGUCACUCUGGAUCUUGAUUUAAUCGCGUUAUUUUCGCUUAUUUUGGCGCCGGCGUUGAUAAUUGUGCCAUCAGUCCGGAGAAAGUGUGAAGAGGGUGAAAACGCCACAUGGAAAGUGCGAGCGGGGUGUCAUCUGCGUGAUGUAUUAAAUCUGGACGCCAUCGAGUUGACGAUGACAUAAUUCAGAAAAACAGAGCGACGGGCGUUAGCGUCCGCUUCAUAUUCAUUUGAUGUCCUCUCUCCUGCCGGAUGACCAGUUUCUGUUGGACUCGACACGGCGCUCAGUCUCCGGCGUUUCUUUGAGGCUUGAUCUCCUCCAUGUACGAUAUAAUCGCUCAUCCUGUAAACAUGAGAACAGAUUGAAUAAAGAAUACUUUGCUUUCCCUUGGCCCUGGAAAACAGUUCUGUCAUGUGCUGUCCACGCUCAUCUCAGCUCCAGGCUGGCGGCGGCGCCUUUAUUCAAUGUGACAGAGGAGAGCUGGGGACUCUUUCUCCUGGCACCCCGGUACGCGCCACACUGACACUCUCCUCUGAAGUGCCACAUUAAUUCUAAUAAAGCGCUGCCUUACCAGGGCCCGCGAAGACCAGGGCUGCGUGAGGGGGGGCAGACGCUCGUAUAAAUACCAGGCUUAAUGAAGGGAGGCAGUGGUGGCGCAGGUGGCGUGGCAGUGCAGGUGGCACCUCUCGCCCUCGGGCUCCUGGGUGAGUCCGCUGCCACCGCCACUCCAGGGGGCACAGCAGCAGAGAUUGCAUUUUAAUUACCAGGUACACCUUGUCCUCCGGACGGGUCAGCGCCUUGUUGGUGGGAGUGAGUCUGCAGACGAGCGUGUCCUGGGCGCCAUCUCUACCUGCAUGUUUACAGAGAUACUCCCCUGAACGCCGGAACACAACACUCCACACCUUCUUGUUCAUGCUCCAGCCGUCACCGCUCAACACGACUAAUUCUGUAUGUUCACCAGGAUGCCAUCUUCUCUGAAUUAUGUGCGCCUCGCUCCCUGUGGGGAGGCAUCCAUCCAGCCUCAGUCAUCGCUAACCCUCCCCAGGAGGAGCUCCAUCCACAGGGAGGUCCACACCUGUUUCCUCCUCCUCAUUCCUUCAUUCUGCAGAAAUCAUCCCUCUUUCUCCUGCAGCUCUAACUCAAAACUCUCGACGUUUCUAAUCUUUACAGUUUUGUGAACGUGGUGAAGCUCGUCUUUAUCGUUAUCAUGAAUAUUACGGCGUUUCAGGUCGUGAUUUUAUUAUUUAAACAAUUGUGCGUUAAAGACGGCGUGUUAAUGUCAACCUGCUGCACCGAGAGAAAAAAGAUCUCUGCUGAAAUAAUCAUCUGUUUGUAUUGUCAUAGUUCUCGAAUCAUAGUGUAGAAAAAUAUGUUGUUUUCAUCGUUAUUUCUGUUUAUUUCCGUCUUUAAAGUCGGCACCAGCAGCAGAGUCUUUUCUCAAACUUCAUCCUGAUCCACCAGUUUACGUGGUUUCAUUUUUACAUGUUACGCCUCCUGCCAGUACGUUAGUCACCUUUUUACCGUCUUUGUGGGACUGAAGUGAAAGUUUGGCAAAGUUUUUACUCUUGCUUUAAAAAAAAUCUGAGAAAUGUUUUCCUGCUGUUUGUUUUUUGGUCCAGAUAUCAUAUUACUAAGUUUAAUUUUAGUAUAAUAAUUAUAAUAUUCCUAAUGUUACACCCCACCUGAAGGCGGCCCUAUGGGGCUAACAAAUUAAUUAAUUAAUUAAAAUAUUUCUUAGUUACAUUUUAGUGUCAUAAUUAUAAUAUUCCUAAGUUUAAUUGUAGUACAAAUAAUUUUGAUAUUUUUGGUUUAAUUUUAGUAUAGUAAUUAUCUAAUUCCUGAGGGUUUUUUUUGUAAAAAUAAUUUUAAUAUUUCUUGGUUUAAUUUUAUUGUAAUUGUAUUAAUUUUUAGUUUAAUUUUAGUAACAUAAUUAUAAUAUUCCUGAUUCCUAUGUCUCCUAUAUUCCUAUGUUUAUUAUUUUUGGUUUAAUUUUAGUAAAAUAGACUAAACAGGGGAAUUGGCAUCACCACAGCUGUAAUAGAGAGUCAUGAUAUCUACGUUAUAUUUUGUCUGUUAAAUAGUUGAAGAUCCUGAAUUUUCUUUUUCAGUCUUCUUAUUCUGGAUGGACACAAUAUUGUGUGAAUUAUUAUUGCGUUCACCUCGAGGGGGCGUGGCCUCUUUUGUUAGCAGGAAAUGACGUUUGCGGCUCUCACAGGACUCCGGCCUACUCCUUGUGCGUGUUGCAGUCCUUUACAGAUGGGUGGUGAGAGGGUUUGCUGAAGGAGGGGGUGUUUUGUAUGUCCAGGACAUAUGAAGACCCCACCACCUCCACCAGCUCCCCCCUCCUCUGUCUCUGGGGAUGCUUCUGUCAGAACGCUGCAGCACAGAUGUUGUUGCAUUGUCUGGAGCACCGAAGCCCAGAUCAGCCCAACUGGGAGCUUCCACUCAUUAGCUAUUGUCUGUGUGUGUCUGACUCGGCCUUUGAUGAAUGCAGCAGUUAGCCCACGAUCAGACAGCAGACACAGAGAACACAGAACCCGCCAUCUACCCGUCCAAAGAUAAUACCGCCGUUUGUUCGACACGUUUGGAUGAUCAUUGUUGAUUUUACAUCCAAAUGAGAAUUUUUUUUCUUUUCUCCGAUAAAAACCGACCACAGAUGAGCCGGAUCUCUCCUUGUCUGCACUCAGCAAACACGUUCUAUCAUCUUAAGCUCUGUAUUUACCUUAAAGAGCACGGGCUCCAAGCUCCGGAAAACAAAAGGGCACCGUGUCUGCCACUUGGAUACUCUGCUCUCCUCUUUGCUUACUCACCCAGAGAAAGGCCAUGCUAUUAUUUAUAUAAUUCCCCCUCCUUCCUCCUCUUCCCUCUCCUCUCCUUCAUGCAUCCACACAGUCAGCCAGCCAGCCAGCCAGCCAGCCAGCCAGCCAGGCUAUGAACACAUUGCAGGGCCUGAGGGCAGUACUGUGGACAACCUGCGCUGUGUUCACAUGGCUGAGCAGAGCGCGAGUGAGGAAGACUGGCACGCUGAAACCAAACAGGUGUAUGAUUCAGAGGCGUGAGCUGUGAAGGGUGAAUUUUUCUUAUACAAGUCAAUGUUGCUUUUGGAGCAAACAGCAGCUUGGAGCUGUCCCAGGAAACAUUUACACGCAAUGUGACUUUUUCCCUUCUGCAGCAGAAAUGAAUUCCUAUUGUUCCUCAGACAUUCCCAGUCUGACUCUGUUCUCGCUCUGGGAUUCAAGGUAAAUAUUGCCUUAAAAUCAUUCGUCAACAUGGCGACUUAGAUCUACAGUAAGUAACGCCAUCUGGAGUCUGCAUGUCGCUAAUAAGUGUCGUUCUGGUUUCGAACCGUGGUGUUUUCCUGUGAAGUCUGUGGAUUUUUCUCUCAUGAGUUCUCAGUUUGUGUGGGAGGCCUCUUCAUUUAGCUUCUACUGUCACAGCUCUAUUUAUUGAUCUCACGCUGACAAACACUCAUCACUUUCUGUGCGUCACGAGGAUUUUAUUUGGAAAGAUCUGUCCGGAAACUGGAGCAGAUUCAGAAACUCACCGUUUGUUACAUAAAACCCUUUAUUUUAAAUCAUUGUUAGUGUUUGUUUCUGUUUUAUUUCAUGUUGCAGAGUUAGUGACGCUCUCAGCUCUGAAUCAUUUCAACAUCAUCUCCGCCGUUCAGAUUAAAAAUCACUUUUUAUAGAAGUCAAGCCUGAUCAGGGUUUACAGUCAUGAUUGGACGAUUUUAGGUGCAAAUUAUCGGGCAGGAAAAUACACAAAAAAUCUCAUUUUAAGAUUCACCUCAGACUGCAGUUCGCCUGCAGGAAAGACUGUGAAAAGGUGACUCCGGCACCAGUAAAAGGAGAGUUAAUGGUCAACUGGAAUCAAUGGAAAUGAAUGUUUGAUUAGGAGAUGAUAGUUUUCUCUGUGAAGCUGCAAAACAGCCACCAAAAAACAAGUCUGGAAACAUGAUCAAUUAAUAAUUAAAUAGAUUAAUUUAAAAUGUAGUUUAAGUUUAUUUCUUAGAUUAUAAAAUAUUGGAUUUGUGCUGCUUUUUCCUACUAAAAUCACUGAAUAUAAAGAGUUUAAAACUUGGAUAAAAUCUGAAAUUAAAAGUAGUUUUAGUUGAAUUACCUGUUUUUAUUCUGCUGUGUAAAGGCGGUUUUAAUGUUUCUUUAUUUGGGUCUUUAAAUGUGAGUUUAAAGGCUGAAACGGGGUCAUCAUUUAACCGUUUGACUUUUCAGUCUUUCGAAUAAGUUCUUGCUAACCUGGGGGACUUUUAGUAAUCAACUUAUUGAUCGUAGUUCUGAGCCAAUUAGAUUACCUUUUCAGUAAUCUAGCUGUGUCCCUGUAUCUCUGCAAUUACCACGAUAGUAGAAAAGUGAUGGCACGAAAACACAACAGUGAUACCAAAGUGUUUUUAGGCUCGACACAGAGACACAAACAAGUGGGUGUUACUGUUUUUAACUUUUAACAACCGAUAAUCAAUGAGAGAUUAAAGUAAUAUUCACAUUUUAGAGCUCUGACCUGCGAACCCGAAGAAGCUCGGCGUUUAAUAAUCCGCUUUAACAAGAAAUCAACAGACCUCUGCUCACUCCGAAUACAGAAAUGACAGCGUGUCCCGGAGGAGUCUGUACAGAAGCGAACAUAAAUCUGGGCUGCACAGUCACUCCUUGAAGGCUGGACCUCGGGGUUAAGAUAAGAGACCAUGUUAGCGGUUAUUAAGUGAAAGUUUCCAAUCGAUAGCCGGGGAGACGUAAUCAGGGAGGGUUUAAUUGCAGAGGGGAAGACAUCUAUUCAGGUUAUUGCAGCAGCUGUCCAGAAAAGCUUCAUUUUUUCUGCUCCAGAGUCUCCCUCCAACGUCCGACCCGGGCUGACCCCCUGAAAGGCUGCGGCUCGCUCCACGCCGGACAUUUAGUGAUAUCACUUGGUGUUUCUUUGGUGACAUUUAUAUGAGUCAAACACUGACGCCAUACAUCGUGAAAAAGGCCUGUUUCCCGGCUCUAAAUCUCCCCCUUUAAACACAUAUAGUUGUUAUUUAUUCUGCUGCUGAUGCAUGCUGUAAACAUAAUGCUGACAACUCCACUUUCUGUCGUUGUAAAUAGCUCAAAAAAUGUGACUCUACACCUUUCUUUGUCACAAAAGUAGGAAUCAAGUGAGCACAGGGGAAAUGUUUAUUGGCUUUCCGGAAAGAAAAGAGAAACUUAUGAGUACAACUCUUUUCUUUUUUAUACGGCUCUGAAUUCUCUGAAGCAUUAACCUUUAAAAAUCAGAUUUACAUCUACAUUUGUCAACCUCCUCCUGGCAAUAAACACCUCAGAGACUCCAAACAUCUCCCAUGACCUCAGAAAAUAUUCGCUCUCGUUAUAUAUCAACCAUCACUUACAACUCCGGCUAAAUAAAUCAGUGAAUACAAUAAUUAUGCCUUUUCUCCGUCCUGUCAGGAGGAAAUAAAGCCGUCUGAUCCAGCACAAACUGAAGGGACUUUUGAAACAAUAUCCCCACAUUAAUCACUCACAUUUAUGCUGCUUUUUUACUAAUAAGACGCCAAUCAAGAGGAGCGGCCACUUCAGGAUCAGACCAGAGGGGUGAUCCUUUCUCUGUGUGUUUCUACAGAUGAGGUUUUAUUCUCUAUUAUUAUUUAAUUUAAUAUUAUUGUAACACUUUAUGAACAUCGCUCUAAUUUGUCAUGACUGAUUAUCACUUAUAAAUAAUUGUUAUAAAGCACGUUUGUCGAGCCUCAUAAAUUCAUCUGUUAGAGUUGAGUUUAUAUGAAAGUUUAUUUUUAAAUACAGUUCAAUCUCUUUCAUAUUUAAGCAUUGUUUUGAUUUAAAUUAAAAUAUUGUAGAUUCUAAUGAAUUGAGUCAAAACUAUUUUAAUCCCAGAUUGUAGAUAAUCCGAUAGUAGAACUAGAUGUCUGAUGUUACAAAGUGAACACACUGAAACCACAUGGAGGUGAUAUUUAGUGUAUUUAUCAGAGAACAUAUAUUUUCAAAUAAAUCUUCACCUUUUAGAGUUUAAUACAAAUCCUAUUGUGAUUUGUUGUUAAAUAAGUUUAGUGUUGCUUCAUGAGCUGAAAAUAGUUUGACCUAGAGGACCUUUAAUUUUCAUUUUUUAUGGAAAAUCCAACAAAACAGGAAACUGACUAAGACUUUAUUAGGCAUGUACUGAUAUAUUUAUACAUAACCUACUUUUAUGUCUGACCCUAACCCUAACCUGAACAUCAAUCAAUUAAUCAAUUGAUCAAUCAGACUUUAUUUGUAUUGCACUUUUCAUACAGUGUGAUGUCGUGCAGAGUACUUUACAUAAACAGAAAAUCAUUAAAAACCCUAAAUCACUCAUGUAUUAAGACAAACAGGCAAGUAAGAAUUUAGAAAUUAAGUAAUAAUAAUUAAAAAAAACAAUAAAAGUCAUGAUGUAACUUAUUUGAACAUAAUAGUUCUCUGUCCACGUCGUAAAUUAAAUUUUCAGUCAAGUUCAGAUAUUUUUUCUCAUUUGUUAGUUUUUUUAAAUAGCUGAAAAUUGUCAAAUACAAAUAUCUAACAUCAAUAUGAUCUGUUUCAUUUUUAGUGUAAAAUGUCUUAUAAUAAGUAUACAGCUUUUCUUAAAAAAAAAAGUACAACAUAAACAAAACACGACUGAUCAGAAUUAAAUCACGUUUAAUUGAGUCUCUGGAGCAGCGACAGUCAGACAGCCGACCAAUCAGAGCGCACUUUUCUCUCUUGUCACACACUUUGGUCUUUUUGUAGUUCACGCAGACUAAACCUGCAACAUGGAAACAAAUUGCUUCAUAAUUUUGACAAGAGCAACUUUAUUUUAAUAUAGCAGUUCGUAACAGUGUGCAGCUCAAAUUGCUAUUUUUAGGAAGUUAAAAAACUAAAUUUAUGGAAACAUUUAAUCAGACAGAAAUUCUGAUCCCACAGAGUGUCCUGGAUAAAAAGAUGUAUAUUACAUGACAGACUAUUGAUUAACAGUUUGCACAAGGACGAGACAAAAACAGCAAAAAAAAGAGAGUUCCCACUUUGUCCACAGGGGGCGCCAAAGACAGAACAGACAACAAGUUCCUCACUGGAGCUUUAAGACAAAAACAAAAUCUGCUGAGAUGAGUCUGAGGCCGUUCAGUAACCCUAAAAAAACCACCUGAUCCACUAUAAACACCCUCAGAAAACUGGAGCAUUUCCAGACCAGUUAAACCAGUUAAACCAGUUAAAGAGCCUCUGCUGCAUGAAUCUGUCUGAUCAUAAUAAAAAGAGUCACAUUCAUUCACUUCUGCUCCUGCCUUGUUCCAGCCGGCUCAUUUCUGGCUCCAUGUGCUGCCUGAUCACCAAAAUCCAAAGGCGACUCAUUGCGGGGAAUUUCCUGCCAUGAAAACGAUGAUGAUGAUGUGAAUGGAUGGCUGACGCCGUGUCAAAUCCAGUAGAUGUCAGUAAAUUGGAACAUAUGUUACUUAAACUAUAACAUCAUGAUAAUUCUCCUCCAAGAUGGCUCAUAAAACUGGAAUUUAUUGGGCUAAAUCUGGGGUGAUGAUAACAUAGAUAAUUUUUAAUGGAAGGUUAAUGCGGGAAUCAAAAGAUAAAAAUGGACCCUUUGGCCUUGUAUCAGCUGGAUCCCAGAAAAUCGGAGCGGUUUUUAUGCACCGUGGGGUGUUCCCCUUUCAUUACAUUUUAUAGCUCCAAGCAUAAAAAUAUACGGAACAUUUUCAUGGCUAAUAAAACCCCAGAUCUUUACAUGAUAAGCAGAAUGGAGACACUGUAGAGGAAAAAAAGAAAGAAAGAAAGAAAAAAAAAAAUAUUCCCUUUGCUGUUUGUCCCAGCAGAGUGAGGAGCGUGUUCAGCUGCUCGGGAGCCAAACCUCCUCCCAGUGGAGAGACUCUGCUCCGACACAAGCACCGAGCGCCUCCUCUAUUCCCACAGACGCACUUUUAAAAUAGGCCACAUUGGAGAAAACAUGACUUUUCACUAUUCUAAUAAAUGGGAGCCUGCCUGUUUAUUAUUAAUGACAUCCCAGCACACUUUUCAGAUUUGGUUGGUGUUACGCUCAGUGAGUAAUUUAUAUUCAUGCCAGCGUGAGAGCCUGCCUGUGUAUGCUUACUGUCUUUUUACUGUCAGCUCUGUGUAGUAGUGCCAUGAAAUUUUAAUGUUUACCAGGUCAGUCCUGACCUUCUUAAUCCUGCUGGUUAUUAAUACGCUAAAGCCAACACAGAGGAACAAUUAAUCAAAAACACCUCUUUUCUUCCCUUUUCCACCUUUCAUACAUAUUAAUUAUAUUCGGCUGCCUUGGGCUGAGGAGUGCAUUAACAUGUAUGCACCCUGGCAGAGAAAUAAGUCAAAAAGCGGCGCCGCUCUGCCCCCACGGCGAGGAGGUGCUUCCCCAGGAUUAGCCUUACGACAGCGGGCUGAGUGGCAGGAACUUGAACAUGACGGAGCACUGAUACACUUUCUUGUCCAGACAAUUAUCUGUGGCCUACUUUUUCAAGCUAAUUCAACACACGGACCCCCCAGGUUGUGUGUGAAGCCUCCUGGUGGGGGGGCUGCAGCGGUGGGUGUCAGUCACAGGAGGACCAGACUGCCCCGGAGCAAAGCUGCGGGUCCCGGCUCAGAGGGAGGAGGAGGAGGAGGAGGGGAUGAUUGAAAUAGAAGUUGAGAUGUAGGACACAUAAAUAAAGCGUUUUUUCUUUUUUCCUGGAAUACUCUUCCCUCUGCUCACAUUUACAUAAUACUCCACCGUGCGCACCAUCACUCCCAUCAGCCCCAAGGUUGAUGGAGUCAUGUGACCAGGCAGAGAGCAGCGGGAUUGGACGGUUUUAUCAUCAUGAACCCCCAAAACCUCGUGUUCACCACACAGGUGAUUUUUCCAUCUGUUGCAGCUCCGCAGUCGAAUUUUUGAUCUGAUCCGACUUUAUAAAAUACACAAACCAGUAAAAACACGUAAACAACACCGCAGGAACACUGUCACCUACAGAUGGAGCUCUAACAGACUUUACUCUGUGUGUGUUUUGUGUUCCUCGAGGGCCACCGUAGGCUGCCGUAAACUGUGGCUGUCUGCUGUAAUCUGGUUACUAGUGUUGGUGCUGGAAACCUUUGUUGACGUCCUCUUGAUGAUUUUUCCAUGAAGUUUGUCUGUUUGUCCCUAAAAUGAUAAAGACUCUCCCUCUUCAUCUAUAUGAUCAUAAACUGUGUGUGAGGAUAACUCAGUGUCGACAGGAUUAAAGCGCACAGAGCAGCUCUGAGCAGCAGAGACGCCGAGAUGACAUUUGUUCUUUAAAACAGUAAGCUGCAUGUAGUUGAAUAUUUAUUUGCAUUAUUUAUAUUUUAUAUAUUAAUGAAUAUAUAUUUAGCCUGAUAGAGAAAUCAGCAUCUUCAGAAUUAAACAUAAAAUAAUCUCAUUUAUAUUUGAAAUGACUUUUCUGAGCUCCUGACUUUAAUAACAUCAAACUGUAACUCUCUUUUCUUAAAGUUAAACACAGAGUCAAACCUCAGAUUAAAAAGUACAUUCAGGAAUUAUUAGAUUAUAUCUUUAUUAUAUUUAUGACAGGUGUUGAGAUGUUCACAAACUCAAAGAAAAGCAGCUGAAUCUGUCUUCUAUAACCAGAUCUCAGAGCGAAAAACUUCAUUUUAAACCUUUUUAAUCGCUGAUUUUCUGCCUUUAAUCUUCAUUUUUUCUCCUCUUCUAUACAAACCGGUCAUGUUCGUCUUUUUCUGCAAAGAAAUAACUUGUUGCUGUGACUUUAACGCUCCUGACUGACGGCGGUGAUGUUUUAUAUUUGCCUUCAGUCUCUGAGGUUCAUCACAGAUCUUCACUCUCUAACUCAUCACUGCGUUUCCUUGUUAAAAAUACGAUCCUGAACUUCCUUCUCUCCUCAUUUAUGGUUUUCUUUAAAGCUCAUUUGAGGUUUUAACUCGUUAUAAACAGACGUGAAUUUGCACUGAUGCCUUUUUCCUUUUCGUCUCCAGAUUUGGUUGAAAGACUUUGCUGCAGGAAAAUGUGGAAAUCUCGGUGAGUUGGUGUCUGUAAAUGUUGUUCAGAGCAGAUUGAAGGUGUUGGAGGAGGAUGAACGAGGCUGCAGAUGCUUUGACUGAUCACUGUCUGUUAUGUGAACCCGUCUGUGUUGACAUGUUGUUUUAAAUUGUCUAAGUUUGUUAAUCCUGUAACAGAAAUGUUUUGAGUCUUUUCUGGUUAAAAACAUCAAAAAUCAAACAUCACACGUUAAAACUGGAGCAGCUCGGCCCUAAAACAUCGUCAUCUCUCUCUUUUUUCCAGGAUCAGGCCCCUGACUUCCUGGACCGCCGUACUCGCAGACUUCAUGACCUCCAAGCAGAGCUGGGAGACAAUGUGAGGUCUGGAUGAAAGGGCGUCGGAGAGCGACGGCGACCAUGGGUGGGGGCGAACAGGGGAGGAUGGGAAGCAGAUGGCAGCAGCUCUGUCCCAUCAGCACAACAGAAGGGGGACUCAAGAUGGCCACGGGCCCCCCCUCCUCACAAUAAGGGAGACGCCUUAUCAUCCCGCCAGCGUGAUCCGUUUCUAACAACAACCCCAAAACCUCCCUCCCCUCCCAGCCUCUAAUCACAGCGAACAGGAGCGGCCGAAUCAAUCACCAGGUACUUACAGAGUUACAUUCAAGUCCAGGGUGGCGCCUAUCGCAGGGGCCCUAAAAAUGAGAUCUAGAUGAGGAAAUAUAUUCUUCAAAAUGAGACGGAAUAAAAUCCGGUUUAAGAUGACGGGGCACGACCCGCCUGACGCGCCUCCUGGUCGACUAUGAAUGAGGCUGCGGCGUCUCCGAGCAGCUUGUCUGGGAGAUAACCUUCAGCAGCCUCGCAUCCCUGGCCUCUCCUCUCUGUGUGAAGAGCAUGUAGUGAAUAGGUGCUAAUUAAGCUUUGUGCAUAUAAAGACGACGGCAUACUGUUGCAGUCAGGAAAGAGAAAAAAAAAAAAACAGACUAAUUGUGCGGCGCAGCUUUGUUUCCUCCUGGAGAGACGUCGCCUCAGAUCCAGAAAAACUGCAGCCGUUCACUUCAGAGCUGAGAGAGAGUUCUUCCCUGAGAAAUGUAUAUGUAUAUAGGAACAGUAAAUCAGAGGUGGGAUCUAAAUUGUUCAUCUGAUGACUUUUCCCCACGCAGCACAGUCCAUCAUACAGGCCAGCGACAGAGCAGCAAAAAACCAAAGAAUCAUGCAUCUUUGCGAGUAGAAAUUAAUAAAAACACUAUGUCAAGGAGCCAGGAAAAAUGGUUUCCCCUAAUGGAUUCUCCACAGAAAACAGCUUUUAGACAAUCAAUCUUUCCUUUGAAAGCCCAAUUAUUUAAGUAAUUGUUCCUCACAAUUGCCACAGGAAUUUGUCCUCUGGAUGCUGUAAAAGUGAGCAUCUUUUGUCACUCGUAAAACGGCUCAUACCAUUUUUAUUGUGCUCAUUUAAUUUCUCAGCCACACUUCUACUUAACGCCUUUUGUCUGCAUUUAUAAAACUGUUCAUUCUCUAUUUGUCACACACACACACACAUGUACACACACACACACACACACAGGGUUUGUGGUAAUGUGGCAUAAUGGAAAGUCAUACAGAGUGUGAUGUCAAUCAGAGGCUUUGUUUACAGUCUCAUAUAAACACACCUGUUGACUGACAUGUUGUCAUUUCUACAGAGUGGAAAUCACUUCACUGUGGAGCUGUCUUAAUAUACAGAACUGAGGAGGAUAACCGUCUUUAAAGAUAAACGUAUGUCAGACUCAAAUAAGUGUAAAGAGCCACCGGAGGAAGUGUGUACUUCAAAAUAAAAGCACAGUUUUAAAAUGCAGGAAUUACAGCGACCGAAAUGCAAGACAGAAAACUAUCAAAAUAAAAGCCUCCUCAGACGUUCACCUUCUCUUCACUGAUAAUCUGACCGUAGUUGAUUUAAGAUCACCGUCAGUUAUCGUGAGUUAAAGUUCAGUCGUCCUCAGUUCACUCAGCGCUCACUCUCCUGUUUCCUCUCCGUCAAUAAUGGACCAAAAUAAAUCACCAUAAAUAAAAGUGUCACUGACUGAAAUGAAACGAUGACAUACAACCUUAAAUACUCUAAUCUGAUGUUAUUUUCCCUGUUUUAGAUUCUUAAAUUCACAUCGAUCAAAUUAAAUCAAAUCUUCAAACAUUUUCUAUAGUUUUCUAUAUAAAUCAGUUCAAUAUCAGUUCAUCAGGAGUCUGUCUACAGCUGUUAGAUUUAUUAUUUAACUCCUCACUGGAGGUCAAGUGAAGACAGUAUGUCGGUCAUUUCUCCACAUGUGUUUAGAUGAAUCAAACAAAGAUUCUCUGUUUCAGGUCUUCAGUUAAAAACAGAAAACACGACACUUUGAAAAACUUUCUUGUUUUGGAGAAGAACAGAUGUUUAGUUUAGUUUUUGUUUUGUUCUCUCUGCAGAUCCUCCUCCUCCUCCUCCUCCUGGACUCGUCGACAGUAUAUCUGUUUGCAUUGUUUUGGCAGUAAUCUCCCUUUUAGUCUCUGAGCUCCUGUGAAAUAAAUGUCUGAUGGUGCAGCUGUGCAGGAAAAAUGGAGCUGAAAACAUUUAGAAAUUUGGGCAAAAAAAAAACUGAGAACAAACUUUUUUACACCAGUGAAAUCUGAGAAAAGUAUGUUAAGCAGAAGCGGACUCAGACGGCUGUGAAGUCGAACUAACAUGAAAUUAUUAAAAUGCUAAAAACAUUUGAAGUUUCCCAGAAUAUUUCCAAAGUUUUUCCAAAAGGCUUUUCUUGCAUCAUUAUUCUAAUUUUGUUGUGCUUGUUAGUGUCCGGGUUACUGACAGCCUGCAGAUUCCUGUUACAAUUAGUCCUGGCAGCAGUGCCAGAUGUUUGUGAGAGAGGAGAGAGGGAGAUGUCAAACACCUGUCUGAUCACCACGGUGCACAUGCUGCUGCUGCUGCUGCUGCUGCUGCUGCUGCUGCAAGAGGCAACACUGCAACAACCACUCCUUGUUAGUUUAGUCUCCUCUUCAAGGUCCGCGCUGCGACUGCACAGCAGACACCUCGCUGACAAACACACCGCAGGUUUUAUUUUCAGGAUUAGAGGAAAUGCAAAAUGAGCAAAGACAAGAUCCUAACCGUGUCGGCUGGACUCAGGUCUGUUUUUUAGCUGCAGUUUUUGUCAGAGUGGUUCCUGUUAAAACCAGGAAAAGAACAAAUCAGUUUUUCUUUCUCUUAAAUUUCUUUGUGGUUUUAUUUGUGAUUUUUUCCCCAGAAGUU